GCCUGCGUGGCAUAACUGGUAUGUCGUCCCGCGGAUAUAUUAUGUAACCGAGGUUCGCUCGUUCGAUUCGAGCCGUGGGUU